rnacentral:rRNA from 1 species
UACGGAGGGUGCAAGCGUUAAUCGGAAUUACUGGGCGUAAAGGGUGCGUAGGCGGUUGUUUAAGUCUGUUGUGAAAUCCCCGGGCUCAACCUGGGAAUGGCAAUGGAUACUGGGCAGCUAGAGUGUGUCAGAGGAUGGUGGAAUUCCCGGUGUAGCGGUGAAAUGCGUAGAGAUCGGGAGGAACAUCAGUGGCGAAGGCGGCCAUCUGGGACAACACUGACGCUGAAGCACGAAAGCGUGGGGAGCAAGCAGG